UCCUUAGCACUUGCGAGCUACACUAUAGCCUUCUUGUCCAGGAAUCUGCCUGACACAUUCAAUGAAGCCAAGUUCCUGUCAUUCAACAUGCAGGUAUUCUUUUGUGUUUGGAUCACUUUCCUCCCUAUCUAUGAUAGCACACAGGAGAAGGUCAUGGUGGUUAUGGAAGUGUUCUCCAUCUUGGCUUUCAGUAUAGCACUCUUUGGAUUGAUUUUUGCCUCCAAGUGCUACAUUAUUUUG
rnacentral:lncRNA from 1 species